CUUUGUGCAAACCUGUCCCAUCUCAUGUGAGCUGGACUUGGUGACUAACUUCAGUCAAUAGAAUUAAACAGAAAUCACAUGCGUAAAAUAGAAACUAGGUCAUAAAAGUAGUAUGACAUCACCCGGAAUCUCUCUAUUGCUCUAGUUGUCAUGUCAAAAAACUACUUAGACAGACUAUGAAGAGAUACAUAGGGUGAGAAACGGAGGCCUUCAGCCAACAGCUGGGAGAAGCUGAGUCCCAUCAGCCAUUCAAAAGACUGCAGCCCCAGCCAAGAGUUUGAUGUAACCUCAGGAGAGACCCUGAGCCAGAACCACCUAGGCCAACGAGCUAUACCUAGUGAUUCCAAAGUCCACAUAUAUUUACUCUGUUCUCACUGUACAAAGUAACCACUCUGAAGUCAAAAAAGCUGGGAUACAUGAAGACUGCCAUCCCUUGAGUCACUUGCCCUGUAGCUGCCACUGUUGGAAAAGGGCUUGCUUCUGUGUCCUUGUGCCCACUUUGAAAAUCCCUGGGAAGUCCUUGGAGUCAGAUGAGCAGGCCUCCGCCACUCUGCCAAAAAGUCUGUUCAGAAGUUUCACAUCACUAGAGAAGAGAGAAGAAGGACAUUUGUACUGGGAGGAGUCGACCGGUCCCAGUAAGGAGAAAGUAGCUACAGCGUCAUGGGUGAGCUGGGUCCCCCAAAAAGGAACUUUAAGGGAAUGGACUGAAUCAAGUCUGAGAUGUCCCCAAAGCAAGACCAAAGAACUGAGGAAGAGAAGCAUUCAUCAGAAACCAAAAUUCAGCUACAAGUGAGCAUCCAGAUGGAGGUAUUAUGAAGAGGAACUGAGACUGAGGGCAAAAGGUGCCAGCCAGAAUCCUGGAUAGGAGAGCAAGAACCAGGACCUCAUUUAAGAGACAACCUGCUUAAGGCAGAGUAAGGUGAGAUUGGAUUCACGCAAAGACCUGGAAUUCAAGUAGGUUAAUGAACAGACAGUGUGUGCCUAUACCACGAAUUUACAAUAAUAAUAAGGGUGCUAAUAAUCACAUGGAAUUGUAGAGUAUAAUGAAAAUAUACACACUGGAGAGAAAUUGCACGGGUUGGCAUCUCAGCUUUGUCAUUUACUAUAACAGUGACCUUGGGCAAGUUAUUUAACCACUCUCUGCCUCAAUUUCCUGAUCAGUAAAAUGAGCUAAUAAUACUUUCUUUUUAUUUUGAGAUGGAGUCUCACUCUUUCACUGAGGCUGGAGUGCAGUGGUGCGAUCUCGGCUCACUGCAGCCUCCACCUCCCAGGUUCAAGCGAUUCUCCUGCCUCAGCCUCCCCAGUAACCAGGAUUACAAACAUGCACCACCAUACCCAGCUAACAUAAAUAUGAAUAUAUUAUAUAUAUAUUUGUACUUUUAGUAGAGAUGAGGUUUCACCAUGUUGGCCAGGCUGGUCUUGAAUUCCUGACCUCAAGUGAUCUGCCUGCCUCGGUCUCCCAAAGUGCUGAGAUUACAGGCAUAAACCACCAGGCUUGCACUAUUGAUAAUUAUUAUAGCAUAAAGUUUUUCUGAGGACUAAAUGGGGCAAAAUACGUAAAACACUAAUUAUAAUUAUUGGCAAAUCCCAUAAUGCUUGUUGUUAUUAGUAUACUUAGAAUUAUUUUAACAUUAAAAACUGAAAACUGAAGCUCUGAGAGUCUGUGUGACUUUGAGGAUUAAAGAACUGAAAAAUGGUAGAAGUAGAAUUUGAACUAAGAAAGUACGGUUAUUGAAUGCAUGGAUUUAAUCCCUAUUAAAUACUUUAUCUUCCAAAAUCUAUGACUCUUUAGUCUUCUUUGUUAACAAAACCUACUUUACGAAAUACAGAACUCUCAGUUGUAUAUAUCAAAUAAUAUUUGUCUGUAGCUGAAUUCUGUGAACGUAUCCAGUCAUCCAUUCCAUAGUUGUAAGAGCAUUACUUUUUGAGACGGAGUCUUGCUCUGUUGCCCAGGCCGGAGUGCAGUGGCGCGAUCUCGGCUCACUGCAGGCUCCACCUCCUGGGUUCACGCCAUUCUCCC
rnacentral:lncRNA from 1 species